UUACCAGUUUGUAGUGUUUUCCUGUGUGUCACCUUGUUCCAGCAUUGUUUCCUAGUAGACUUAUAGUGAUUUUUGACCGUGCCUGCCUUACUGUUUUGCCUUCUGCCUGCUCCCUUUGGAUUUUUUUGCCUUGAAGAAUUGACUGCCCGUGUACCGACCUGGACUGUUAUUAAACUCUACCUUUUCCUGAACUCAGCCACGUAGCACAUGAGUUAUUAAUGUCUGUCAGGACCCAGAAUCUUAAAAAGUGGGGAAUCCACUCCCACGCACUCAGCAGCACAAAAACAAUUCACUAGAAAGAUUCAGAUUCAGAUUUGACUCCCUGCAUGUGGCCUCUCAAACAUCCAGAGGAGCAGGAUCAUUUCCUUUCUCCGACAAAUGAUCCCUUGUUAUUUCCUGUCCCUGAUCACAUAAAUGAUUGAAUCCUUGUUGAUAUAAAG